rnacentral:antisense_RNA from 1 species
CUUCACCGACCCCAGCCACAGCGGGCCGCCCGAGGAGCGGUCCUGUCCGUAGGUGGCCAGCAGCGCCUGCGCCUC